ACAACAAUUCUUUGGUACAAAUCUGCACACAAUGGAAUUUAGAUAGAAACGCAUUUAUUUAUGUAUCGAGUUUGCCAGAGGGUACAAAACGUCACUGCAUUGCUGCAGUGCUGCCACUGCUCCUUCUGCAGUGCUGACAUUUUGGAUGAAUGGCUGUGCAGCAUUGCCCAUCGCAGACUGCUGGCAGGCUCCAGAAGGGACUCAGCUCCCACUGCGCGAUGGCUGUGUGAGUGGCAUACUUUGCUGAAGUGUGUCCGGACUCUUUUUGGGAAGCUGGGAGGCAUCUUCUUGCUGUGAGGAGCUAGUAACUACUGUAACUGGCGGAGUGAUGGCAAAAAUCCUGGUGCAGGGAACAAAUGGAUGCUGAUGAAAAGAGAAAGGAAAAAAGAUGGAGAAGAAGAAAAGAAAUGAUGCUGGAAGCUGGCAAAAGCUUUUCUCUCUGAGUUCUGGAGCAGAAGAAACGCUUGCUGGGAAGAAAAGUCUGCAACUGGAGGUACACUGCAGCUCUCCUUUUUUGCUGCUGGAAAGAAGUUAAUAAAUGCAGUCACAAUACAAGGUAUACCAUUCUCAUUCCUUAUUGAUACCAACUAUACUGUGACAAUGAAUUUCAAAGUGCUGCUGAUGUAAACUCUACCUGAAGCCUGUUUGAUCUCAGAUAAGCAUCUUCAUCCCAUUCUUCAUUUCAAGAAAAGAAAAUCUUAGUGCACAGAAACAUAUUCAUUCGCUUUGGGUUCAGUUCAAGAUAAGCCAUGCUUUGCAGAAAACCUAAUUAAUAUCAAUCACAAGGAAAACAGGAAUUGGAAGGAAAUAUGCUUUCAUUUUUUGAUAAAGAGAUCACCCAUGAUACAUACACAAAUGGACAUACCAAUCUGCUUUAUUAUGGAGGUGUCAGAAAAGAAACAGUCCCUGUAGGGAGGAUGAUUUUAAAGAAUAAAGAGGCUGUUGCACUCUCACUCUGAUGUAAAUAAUUGAGUAACUUCAUGGUGGUGCUAGGCAGGAGUCCAAUGGUAAGACUUCAGAUGAGAAGUAGGUCCUGAAAUGGCAGGCUUAGUGUCAUUUUUAGGUGUUUAUUCCUAACAUGCAGAAUAAUAAUUAUUAAUGAUAGUUCAUAAACAUGUUUUUAAUAGUUCCUUUAAUGUAUUU